GUCAUCACCGGUCUUCAGAAAGGGCUCACUUCAUCAGCACCAGAACAACCAAACACUUGUCUUAUUGCUUCUAUCUGACCCCACUCUGCCUUUAAAAGUCAACAAACCAGCAAGCUUCUGUGACACCGCCAGUGCUGCUACUGGGACUGACUGUGGAAAAACAGCUGGGGACCCAACGUGUCCUUUAGACAGAGAUGAAAUGCAGUUAAUCCUGGUUAUAUCAAAGGGAGCGGAAAUGAAAAGUAAAUUCCCACUUGCAAAGAUUUUUUUUCUCCCCUGUGCA